UACGAAGGGUGCAAACGUUGCUCGGAAUUAUUGGGCGUAAAGCGCACGUAGGCGGCUUAGCAAGUCGGAUGUGAAAUCCCUCGGCUCAACCAAGGAAGUGCAUCCGAAACUGCUGAGCUUGAGUACCAAAGAGGAUCGCGGAAUUCCUGGUGUAGCGGUGAAAUGCGCAGAUAUCAGGAAGAACACCCGUGGCUAAGGCGGCUCUCUAGUACGGUACUGACGCUGAGACGCGAAAGCGUGGGGAGCGAACAGG
rnacentral:rRNA from 1 species